rnacentral:rRNA from 1 species
CGUAGCCACGGUAAUACAGAGGGUGCGAGCGUUAAUCGGAUUUACUGGGCGUAAAGCGUGCGUAGGCGGCUUCUUAAGUCGGAUGUGAAAUCCCUGAGCUUAACUUAGGAAUUGCAUUCGAUACUGGGAAGCUAGAGUAUGGGAGAGGAUGGUAGAAUUCCAGGUGUAGCGGUGAAAUGCGUAGAGAUCUGGAGGAAUACCGAUGGCGAAGGCAGCCAUCUGGCCUAAUACUGACGCUGAGGUACGAAAGCAUGGGGAGCAAACAGGAUUAGAUACCCGAGUAGUCCCUGUCUCUUAUACA